GACACGAGAAAUCCUGUCUGAACAUGGGGGGGACCAUCCUCCAAGGCUAAAUACUCAUCAUCGACCGAUAGUGAACCAGUACCGUGAGGGAAAGGCGAAAAGAACCCCGGGAGGGGAGUGAAACAGAACCUGAAACCUGAUGCAUACAAACAGUGGGAGCACCCUUGUGGUGUGACUGCGUACCUUUUGUAUAAUGGGUCAACGACUUACAUUCAGUAGCGAGCUUAACCGGAUAGGGGAGGCGUAGGGAAACCGAGUCUUAAUAGGGCGACUAGUUGCUGGGUGUAGACCCGAAACCGAGUGAUCUAUCCAUGGCCAGGAUGAAGGU
rnacentral:rRNA from 1 species